CAGUAAAUAGGUUUUAAAGAUCUACCCCCCAAAAAAAAUAUAGGUGGAUCAACGAUUUCCCUGGUGUUGGCGCAGUAUUCGCGCACCCCAACUUCGGU
rnacentral:sRNA from 1 species